UUAAAUGUAUUCAUCUUCUAUAUUUAGUAUAUUCUGGGUUUUAUUUCAGUUGUAUAGAGGUAUGAAAUGGUACCUCUCUCAAAAAACAGUUUAGUUCCCCGAUGAAGUUUGAUGAGUGUCCACACAAUAUAUUGGAAGGUUUGAGAUCUUCAUAUCCCACAUUCCAGGCCUCUCCCAACAUAUGCAUGAUGUUUUAUAUCCCAAACUUCAGAUAACCACCUACCAAACUCCACGUUUCGUGUCCCAAACUUCAUAUUUGGUGUCCUAAACUCCACCCAUUAUACUUUUAACUCCAGCUUUCACAGACCAGACUUAAGGUUUUCACUUCUAAAAUUCCCAGUGCCAGGAUUCCAUGUCCCAAACUCCAGAUUUGAUGUCCUAAACUCCAUACAUUAUCCUUAUAACUCCAGCUUUCACAGACCAGACUUAAGUUUCUCACUUCUAAAACUCCUCACAGCACCAGUAUUCCAUGUCCCAAAUUCCAGAUUUGAUGUCCUAAACUUCACCCAUUAUACUUAUAACUCCAGCUUUCAACGACCAGACUAAAGGUUUUCAACUCCAUCUUUCACAGACAAGACUUAAGGUUUUCACUUCUAAAAUUGCCCAGUGCCAAGAUUCCAUGUCCCAAAUUCCAGGUUUCACGGGCAGCACCCCGCCAGGAAAGCCCCUAUUGAUCCUCCGCUUGUGAAUGCUCUCGUUAAUUGUUUCCUCAUUGGGAGCAGUUGAGGCCUGUCCAAUGGGAGGCUUGAUUGGCUUAAGUACCUAGUUAUAUGGUGGGACAUCCGGCCAUGCCCGCAGCCUUACGUCCGACAGUCCGACUAUAGCACGUAAGUCUCUCUUGGCUUCAACCUUAUCCUAGGCAUCUAUCAUAGGGUCAAAGGGAACUUUGGUAUUUUAAGUAUUGAGUCCGAAAACCAUUCCAUCUUCCUCAAAGCAAACUGUACAUGCAUUGGGUCAGAAGACCAUUCCAUCUUUUCCAAUUGGGGUGUUAACUGUACAUGUAUUGGAUCCUAAGACUCUUCCAUCUUUGCCAAGGGGAGUGCUAGCUGUAUAUGCAUUGGAUACGAAUACCAUUUUAUCUUUGCCAAUCUGAGUGUUAACUGUACGUAUGUAAUUUAUAUGUACAUUACUUAUGUAAUAUAUUGGGUCCGAAGACCAUUUUAUCCAUGUAAAGGCGAGUGUUAACGGUGCAUGUAUUGGAUCCGAAGACCAUUCCAUUUUCGUCAAAGCGUGUGCUAACUGUAUAUGCAUCGGGUCCGAAGACCAUUCCAUCUUUGCCAAGGGGAGUGCUAACUGUAUAUGUAUUGGUUCCGAAGACCAUUCCGUUUUUGCCAAGCUAGUGUUAACAAUGCAUGUAUUGGGUCCGAAGACCAUUCAAUCUUUGUCAAGGGGCGUGUUAACUGCAUAUGUAUUGGUUCCGAAGACCCUUCCAUUUUUCCCAAAGUGAGUGUUAACAGUACAUGUAUUGGGUCAGAAGACCAUUCAAUCUGGUAACUGCAUAUAUAUUGGGUCCGAAGACCAUUCCAUCUUUGUCAAGGUGAAUGUUAACAGUGCAUUUAUUGGGCCCGAAGACCAUUCCAUCUUUGCCAAAGGGAAUGCUAACAGUACAUGUAUUGGGUCAUAAGAUUAUUGAAUCUUUGCCAAGGUGAGUGCUAACUGUAUUGGGUCCGAAGACCAUCCCAUCUUUGCCAAGCUAGUGUUAACAGUGCAUGUAUUGAGUUCGAAGACCAUACCAUCUUGGUCAAGGGGAGUGUUAACUGCAUAUGCAUUGGGUCCGAAGACCAUUCCAUCUUUGUCAAGCUAGUGUGAACAGUGCAUGUAUUGAAUCCGAAGACCAUUCCAUCUUUGCCAAGCUAGUGUGAACAAUGCAUGUAUUGGAUCCGAAGAUAAUUUCAUCUUUUCUAAGGUGAGUGCUAACUGUAUAUAUAUUGGGUCCAAAGACCAUUCCAUCUUUGUCAAGGGGACGUGUUAACAGUACAUGUAUUGGGUCCGACGACCAUUCCAUCUUUGCCAAGCUAGUGUGAACAAUGCAUGUAUUGAGUUCGAAGACCAUUCCAUCUUUGCCAAAGGGAGUGCUAACAGUACAUGCAUUGGAUUCGAAGACAAUUCCAUCUUUGCCAAGAACGAGUGCUAACAGUACAUGUAUUGGGUCAGAAGAUUAUUGCAUCUUUGCCAAGGUGAGUGCUAACUGUAUUGGGUCCGGAGACCAUUCCAUCUUUGCCAAGGAUAUUGUUAACAAGGCAUGUAUUGGGUCCAAAGACUAUCCCAUUUUAACAAGCUGAGUGCUAACUGUACAUGUAUUGAUUCAGAAUACCAUUCCAUCUUUACCAAGGGGAGUGCUAACAGUAUAUGUGUUGGGUCAGAAGACCAUUCCAUGGGCGUUUCCAUCCUUGUGAAGGACAUUUGUUAAACUUGUUCAGCGUCCUAAGACCGUUCGAUCCUUGUUGAAAGCAAAAUGCUAAUAGUAUAUCACCUCCCUUUUUAAACAUGAGAGAUCUUGUCUUCUUGAGCAAUGGCUUAUUACGAGUUUAAACAAACUCACAUUUUAAACGAUUUAAGGAAAAAAAAGGUUGAAUUUUCAGCAUCUCUAGCCGUCAGUCCUAGAGCUAGACAAUUGACAAUUAAAAUAAUUUUAUUGACAUCUUGUCAAUACAUACAAAGUUCACAGUCUGUACUAUUUAAAAGAUGCAUUAUAUACACUACGAAAGUUUUUAGUGAUGUACACUUUUGAAAUUUGCAUUUUAUUAAUAUAGAUGUACAAUGAAUAUGGCGCCUCUCCCACCGCUGCAGAGUUUGGUGGAGAAUCACCAGUGGGUCUCCAGCGACACCACGUAUUUCAUCCUAGAGAUAGAAUGAAGAGUUCUCAGCCAUUUCGACCACAUCCUAUUAGAAGUCCAUUAACCGAUCUAAUAAUGAUAGACCAACGUAAAAACUUGAGAGGCAUUAGUAAAAAAAAAAAAAAAAACAUUUUAAAUCAUUUUCCAAACAAAUAAAAUCCCUAUACGUUUAAAAAAUGAAUUCAAAUAACUCUUCUCUCUUUCUCCUUCUACCACUAAAUUGAAAAUUUUUCAGUUGAAAUAUUUUGCUACACAACUUGGCAUCGCUCGGUCUCAGUUUUGAUUUUUUUAAUGAUUUUAUAAUUUUAUGAUUAGUUAUGAUUUUUUUCUUCGAAUCUUACAUUUGCAAGACUUAAGAGUUUUCUCUUCAAAAAAUUAAUUAUUUUUUGUAUAUGAAUAUUUUUUUGUAAGUGUGUACAAGAAGAUUGAAAAGGUAGGUAUAUUAUCUCCAAAGUUUGCGGCACUUCCUACGAAUGUUGACACCGCUCAGUGCUGAAAGGAUAGAAAGGUCCUCUAAGUGUCACCAUCCAGUGUUACCGCUAAUAAGGUAAGCUCCCCCAAGUCUAUCCACCCAGUGUUACCGCCAAUAAGGUAAGUCCCUCUCUAAGUGUAUCCACCCUAAGUACCACCGCCAAAGUGUCAAAGAGUCACCUCCAAUAAGGUAAGUCCCCCCCAAGUGUCACCGUCAAGGUGUCCAAGAGCCAAGGACGAGUAUUCUGUAUUAAGUACUUAGAGCCGCAUGAGUAUCAAUGAAUUCUCCUGCUGGCUUAGGUGCUUAACAUAGAGGCUCAGUAUUCGGCGUGGGGGAACUUCUAAACGGUAAGUUUCCAUCUACUCAAGGGCAAGUCUCCAUAUAUUCAAGGGUGAAAAUCCAACUUCUUAAGGGCAAAUCUCCAUAUGUUCAAGGGUAAGUCCCCAUAUAUUCAAGGGUGAAACUCCAACUACUCAAGGGCAAGUCUCCAUCUACUCGAGGGCAAGUCUUCAUAUUCUCAAAGGCAAGUCUCCAUAUGUUCAAUGGUAAGAAUCCAGCUUCUCAUGGGCAAGGCUCCAUAUGCUCAAGGGUAAGUUUCCAUCUACUCAAGGGAAAGUCUCCAUAUUUUCAAGGGCAAGGCUUCAUAUGUUCAAAGGUAAGGCUCCAUAUGUUCAAGGGUGAAACUCCAAUUUCUCAAGGGAAAGUCUCCAUAUUCUCAAGGGCAAGCCUCCAUAUGUUCAAGGGUGAAAAUCCAACUUCUUAAGGGCAAAUCUCCAUAUGUUCAAGGGUAAGUCCCCAUAUAUUCAAGGGUGAAACUCCAACUACUCAAGGGUAAGUCUCCAUAUGCUCAAGGGUAAAACUCCAACUUCUCAAUGGCAAGUCUCCAUCUACUCGAGGGCAAGUCUUCAUAUUCUCAAAGGCAAGUCUCCAUCAGCUUAAGGGUAAGACUCCAUAUCCUGCGUGUGUGUAGCGAAUAAUUCCAUUUUUGCACAAGGCUAAUAUCUCAUCUGCAGCGGGAAAGGCUCCAUCUACGGCGGAAAAAGCUCCCUUAGCAGAAGGCAAGGCUCUAUCUACUAAUGGAAAAGCUCCAGCUGUAGCAGGUAAGGCUCCAUCUACUGAAAUUCCAUAUUAAAGGAUAACUAUUUGUAUGAAACAGAUAAACCUCGGAUAGGCCUAUAUCUGUUGCAGGUGUAUGGACCAUAUGAGAAUAUAGGCUUUCAAUUCACGAGGUUAGGGAUUCAUAUGUUUUAGACUUUUUCCGUUCUGGAUCAGACUCCUCUAUCAGUUUCGAAUAGGAUCUGUUAUGAAUAAGGGUUAAUCUUUUACGGAUAAACAGCGAAUUUUGGGGAUAAAAUUGUUGCAAUCCUUCUCAUUCUCUUGUAUAGGCUUGGAAUAGUUGGCGAAAAUAGCUACGCCAUUCAAAUAUCACAUAAACAUUCAACUACUAGCCUGUUGACCGUAUUUCUUCUGGUUUCUUCCCGAGUUGACAUUUGCAUAACGUCAUUAUUCAUUCAGUAGUUCAUUUAUUAAUUAUAUAAUACAAAUUUGAUAUUUGCGGAAGAGCGAUUGCUCGAAGCAUAUUAUAUAUUUAUAAUUGUAUGUAAUUCUACUGUCCUCAAAGCUUAUGUCCAUAGUUCUUCUAAAAUACCCAUUCCAAGAGUCUAGCAUCAGUAUCACUAUAAAAGGAAGAUGGAAAAAUCAAUAUAACAGCGGUAUGGUAGAUUAAACUGGCGAAACAGCUGGGAGGGUUCACCACUGAUGAGCCAGGCCCUCCAAUUAAUGUUUCUAUUGCAGUAAGGACAGUAGAAAUUGUUUAUUUAAAAAAAAAAAAAGAAUCAUAUGUGUCUAUAAUAGUUUAGAAUUUUGAAAUUCAGUUUUCAUUAUCAAUUUCAGGUAAAUCCAUUUUAGAGAGAAUUUUGGAUGUUUCUCAAAAUGGCCAACUUCACGAAUUCUUAGAAUUUUGUAUUUGUGUGAAAGUCUUAAUGUUCUUCAUUCUGUUCCAUAUGGAAUUUCCGUUUUUUUGGGAAAUUUGACCAGAU